rnacentral:tRNA from 1 species
GGGGCUGUAGCUCAGUUGGCUAGAGCGCUUGAAUGGCAUUCAAGAGGUCAUGGGUUCAAUUCCCAUUAGCUCCA